AGCUCCAAUAGCGUAUAUUAAAAUUGUUGCGGUUAAAACGCUCGUAGUUGGAUAUCUGUCGGGAGGUUUCGGUCGGUCCAAGUGAUGCGGACUCGGAACUUUUCUCGACAUUUGUUCAGUCAAGGAGGAUGCCCUUCAUUGGGUGACCUUCAUUGCUGAAUUUUUACUUUGAGGAAAUGAGAGUGUUCCAAGCAGGCAUUCGCCGUGAAUAUGAUAGCAUGGAAUAAUAGCAUCGGUCCUGGUGCCAGAGCUGUUGGUUUUUGGUGCCGGGAAAGCAUAAUAAGGAUAGUUGGGGGUAUUCGUAUUUAACUGUCAGAGGUGAAAUUCUUGGAUUUUUAAAGACGAACUACUGCGAAGGCAUCUGCCCAGGAUG
rnacentral:rRNA from 1 species